rnacentral:rRNA from 1 species
UUCAACGAUGGAUAUCUUGGUUCCCAUAACGAUGAAGAGCGCAGCAAAGUGCGAUAAGCAAUGCGAAUUGCAGAAUUCCGCGAAUCAUCAGAUCCUUGAACGCAACUGGCGCUAGGGGGAUCUCCCCCUAGCAUGUCUGUUUCAGUGUCUG